UACGGAGGGGACUAGCGUUGUUCGGAAUUACUGGGCGUAAAGCGCACGUAGGCGGAUUUGUAAGUCAGGGGUGAAAUCCCGGGGCUCAACCUCGGAACUGCCUUUGAUACUGCAAAUCUCGAGUCCGGAAGAGGUGAGUGGAAUUCCUAGUGUAGAGGUGGAAUUCGUAGAUAUUAGGAAGAACACCAGUGGCGAAGGCGGCCCACUGGUCCGGUACUGACGCUGAGGUGCGAAAGCGUGGGGAGCAAACAGG
rnacentral:rRNA from 1 species